GUCGUGAGAUGUUGGGUUAAGUCCCGCAACGAGCGCAACCCUCGCCCUUAGUUGCCAGCAUUCAGUUGGGCACUCUAAGGGGACUGCCGGUGAUAAGCCGAGAGGAAGGUGGGGAUGACGUCAAGUCCUCAUGGCCCUUACGGGCUGGGCUACACACGUGCUACAAUGGUGGUGACAGUGGGCAGCGAGACCGCGAGGUCGAGCUAAUCUCCAAAAGCCAUCUCAGUUCGGAUUGCACUCUGCAACUCGAGUGCAUGAAGUUGGAAUCGCUAGUAAUCGCGGAUCAGCAUGCCGCGGUGAAUACGUUCCCGGGCCUUGUACACACCGCCCGUCACACCAUGGGAGUUGGCUUUACCCGAAGGCGCUGUGCUAACCGCAAGGAGGCAGGCGACCACGGUAGGGUCAGCGACUGGGGUGAAGUCGUAACAAGGUAGCCGUAGGGGAACCUGCGGCUGGAUCACCUCCUUUCUAAGGAUGAACCUUAAUGGAAUGCUUGUUCGCAAGCCGCUUCCUUUCGGUUCUCUUCAGGAACAAGACGGAAGAGAGUCACUCUUACCGUCGUGCAUACCUAAGCGGGUCUGCCGUCCUCGUUUCUCUUUCUUCGCGAAUGACCAACCCGUGCCCUAUGGCGCCCCGGCGUGGCCGGUGAUGCGCCAGCUGGGUGUGGUUCAGGGCUUGUAGCUCAGUUGGUUAGAGCGCGCGCUUGAUAAGCGUGAGGUCGGAGGUUCAAGUCCUCCCAGGCCCACCAUUCCGUCCAGGUAUCAGGGGCCGUAGCUCAGCUGGGAGAGCACCUGCUUUGCAAGCAGGGGGUCGUCGGUUCGAUCCCGUCCGGCUCCACCAUACCGGUGACCGGGUUGUCGGGUUCAUUCGCAAGAAUAAGGUUUGCGGCAGGCUCUUGAGCCUUCCGCCUGUUCUGUUUGACAUCGUAAAGAGAAGAUUUGUUCGGACUCCGUGGCCCGAGCGUGAUCCCCAGGCAAAGUCGCAAGACUUUGCAAAACGGGAGCAUGCGCUGACGGCUGUGGUUUGUCGCAAGGGACGCUCAAUCCCUCGCAGAUGAUUGGUUUGCCUAACCGCACCACCGGACAGAUCUCGAGAAGCUGGUCUUUUUGUGCCAAUACCGUUCGGAGCUUGCUCCGGAUGGGCAUUGGCAAUGAGAACGAUCAAGUGUCUUAAGGGCAAUUGGUGGAUGCCUUGGCAUGCACAGGCGAUGAAGGACGUGAUACGCUGCGAUAAGCUACGGGGAGGUGCGAAUACCCUUUGAUCCGUAGAUUU
rnacentral:sRNA from 1 species